rnacentral:rRNA from 1 species
ACAUGCAAGUCGAGCGUAGAGAGAAGCUUGUUCUCUUGAGAGCGGCGGACGGUGAGUAAAGCUAGGAAUCUGCUGGUAGUGGGGGAUAACUUCGGAAACGGACGCUAAUACCGCAUACGUCUACGGGAGAAAGCAGGGACCUUCGGGCCUUGCGCUAUCAGAUGAGCUAGGUCGGAUUAGCUAGUUGGUGAGGUAAUGGCUCACCAAGGCGACGAUCCGUAACUGGUCUGAGAGGAUGAUCAGUCACACUGGAACUGAGACACGGUCCAGACUCCUACGGGAGGCAGCAGUGGGGAAUAUUGGACAAUGGGCGAAAGCCUGAUCCAGCCAUGCCGCGUGUGUGAAGAAGGUCUUCGGAUUGUAAAGCACUUUAAGUUGGGAGG